rnacentral:rRNA from 1 species
GACGAACGCUGGCGGAGUGCUUAACACAUGCAAGUCGAACGGAAAGGCCUCUUUCGGGGGGUACUCGAGUGGCGAACGGGUGAGUAACACGUGAGUAACCUGCCCUUGACUUUGGGAUAACUUCAGGAAACUGGGGCUAAUACCGGAUAGGAGCUCCUGCUGCAUGGUGGGGGUUGGAAAGUUUCGGCGGUUGGGGAUGGACUCGCGGCUUAUCAGCUUGUUGGUGGGGUAGUGGCUUACCAAGGCUUUGACGGGUAGCCGGCCUGAGAGGGUGACCGGCCACAUUGGGACUGAGAUACGGCCCAGACUCCUACGGGAGGCAGCAGUGGGGAAUAUUGCACAAUGGGUGGAAGCCUGAUGCAGCAACGCCGUGUGCGGGAUGACGGCCUUCGGGUUGUAAACCGCUUUCGCUCAUGACGAAGCUUUGUGUGACGGUAGUGGGUAAAGAAGCACCGGCUAACUACGUG